rnacentral:rRNA from 1 species
AUUGAACGCUGGCGGCAUGCCUUACACAUGCAAGUCGAACGGCAGCACGGGUGCUUGCACCUGGUGGCGAGUGGCGAACGGGUGAGUAAUACAUCGGAACGUACCUUAUCGUGGGGGAUAACGCAGCGAAAGCUGUGCUAAUACCGCAUACGCCCUGAGGGGGAAAGCGGGGGAUUGCAAGACCUCGCGCGAUUAGAGCGGCCGAUGCCUGAUUAGCUUGUUGGUGGGGUAAAAGCCCACCAAGGCGACGAUCAGUAGCUGGUCUGAGAGGGCGAUCAGCCACACUGGGACUGAGACACGGCCCAGACUCCUACGGGAGGCAGCAGUGGGGAAUUUUGGACAAUGGGGGCAACCCUGAUCCAGCAAUGCCGCGUGAGUGAAGAAGGCCUUCGGGUUGUAAAGCUCUUUUGUCAGGGAAGAAACACCGGCUCUAACACAGUCCGGGAAUGACGGUACCUGAAGAAUAAGCACCGGCUAACUACGUGCCAGCCGCCGCGGUAA